GUUUCUGUAGUGUAGUGGUUUAUCACGUUCGGCUAACACGCGAAUGGUCCCCCUGUUUGAAUCCGGGGCAGAAACCA